rnacentral:rRNA from 1 species
CCUACGGGAGGCUGCAGUGGGGAAUAUUGCACAAUGGAGGGAACUCUGAUGCAGCGACGCCGCGUGAGUGAAGAAGUAAUUCGUUAUGUAAAGCUCUAUCAGCAGGGAAGAAAGUGACGGUACCUGAAAAAGAAGCUCCGGCUAAAUACGUGCCAGCAGCCGCGGUAAUACGUAGGGGGCAAGCGUUAUCCGGAAUCACUGGGUGUAAAGGGAGCGUAGACGGCUGAGCAAGCCUGAGGUGAAAGGCGGGGGCCCAACCCCCGGACUGCUUUGGGAACUGUACGGCUGGAGUGCAGGAGGGGUAAGGGGAAUUCCGAGUGUAGCGGGGAAAUGCGUAGAUAUUAGGAGGAACACCAGUGGCGAAGGCGGCUUACUGGACUGUAACUGACGUUGAGGCUCGAAAGCGUGGGGAGCAAACAGGAUUAGAUACCCUUGUAGUC